CACGUAGGGCGCAAGCGUUGUCCGGAAUUAUUGGGCGUAAAGAGCUCGUAGGCGGUCUGUUGCGUCCGCUGUGAAAACUCGGGGCUUAACCCCGAGCCUGCAGUGGAUACGGGCAGACUAGAGGUAGGUAGGGGAGAAUGGAAUUCCCGGUGUAGCGGUGAAAUGCGCAGAUAUCGGGAGGAACACCGGUGGCGAAGGCGGUUCUCUGGGCCUUACCUGACGCUGAGGAGCGAAAGCGUGGGGAGCGAACAG
rnacentral:rRNA from 1 species